CUCUGUGUUGUAAAAUCACACUUACGCUGGUGCUAAAUAUUGUUUUUUUUAAUAACUGGAGCUCACUCGUGUUGGCGUCAUUUUUAUUUUAUAGACAUUUGCUGUGCUCGCGCACCGGAUGAACUAGAGCAGCUGACCGGGAAACCGUUGAUCCGGAAAAUUGGCCAGAUUAAUGCUGCGGCAGAGGGCCGUUGGUGCUGAUGGCGUUUCCAGAUGGACCGCGGCGUUGGCAGCGCUGGCAUUUGUGCCGCCGCGCGGCCUCCGACCGCUGCCGCAGCUUUAUGACUCGUGUCAAUUCAUGUGAGCGCCGAGGCCCGGACCCGGUCGGCAGCGGCUCGGGACACCUCGUUAUCCGUCCCUGAAGGCAGGCCAGGUCUCGGGCCUCGCCGGGCCCUUCGGCAGGUGGUUCAGUCUGACCCAUAAGUUAUCCAACGGUUCCGACGGUGAAUACAACUCUAUAUGCAGAGGAAACGACCAGAGGACAUCAUGGAAAAGCUCUCGUUACAAGCGCAGUAACAAAAAGCCGGGCUGCGAGGCGGUCUGUGCUGCGUUGGCGGCGCUGGAGCUGCUGCAUCUGCAGCUGAAGGAGCAGGUGGACGUCCUGCUGGAGCGGAACCAGUUGGCGCUGGAGCACGGCGACUCGCACACGGCCAGCGUGGUGACGGGCCGCCUCCUGACGCCCGCGUGGAGCGCCUGGCGCUGCUGGGAGGCCUCCUGAGCGGCGCCGCCGGCUGGGCUGCACCGUCGGCCCCACGGGGGGGGGGUACGUCCUGAACGAGCUGCAGGAGGAGCUCCGCCGAUGACCCACCCGGGUCUGGGAGCGCUCACGCUGGGCUCACAGCAGGCUUUUAGUGAAAGUCCACAUGAGGCCGACUGAGGACCACAGUAACAUUUGGGAAAAUGUGCUUAUUUGGAAUAUUCUGUAUCGAUAAACUGUAAAGAUGUCCAGUGUGGAGCUAGACACAGCUUCUCUGUCUAGUGUUAAAGCACAUUUGGGACAUUUAAAGUCAAAAAAGGGGAAAUUUACUUUUCCUCAGUAAAAUAAGUUUUAAUAUUCAGUUUAAGAUUUUAAUUAUACCAUAAUAAAGAAAACAGACAAAACUACCCACAUGAAAUUAUAAUGAAUCAAUAGUUUUACUAACUUUACACAUAUUAACCAAGCGCAUAAAAAGGUUGAGUCACAUACUCACAUGAAUUGAAUUUGUCACGUUUUUGUCAUUGUGACCAGAGAAUGACUUGUAUUAAAGUUAACUAACCUGGCAUCGUCCAAGCUAACCUAACUUAGCUUAGCUUAGCUUAGCUUAGCGCAACAAUGCACAUUCCAGCUGUUAAGAGCUGAUGUUUUCACUAAAAAACAACAACAACCACCACAGUAACUAAUCCUGUGCACAGGUUUAUGUCAGCUGUUGAGUGAACAGGACACUAUAUAGACUGAUGUUAAGUCUCCAGUAUUAGUACACUGAAUUUAGAAUAAGUUAUGUUUAUACACAUUGAGCAUAAUGUAAGUGUAUUUUUCUAAUUGUAGAAAUCUGAACAAAGCUACCUUUUAAUUGUGUAUUUGACUGAAUCAGUUAGAUGUUUAAACACAGAAUGUACAUAUUUUCCUACUGCACUAGAGCUUGUGAAAUGUAAACAUAACUUACCUUUAAAGUAUUUUAUUCCUUCUUUAAACUUGUUUGGUCUCGAUAGGUGAACAGAGCUCCACUGGGGACGAAGCCAUAAUUAAAUACCUUUUAGUUUAAUGGUGCUUGUUUUUUUUCAAAUGUAGCUGCACAUUAAUGUGAUAAUUGUGAAGUUUGCCGUAAUUAGUCUUUUUUAGAUACAGCUACAGUUAAAUAAUUAUUUAAACAUUACCACAUUAUUAGACUUAAUUCCUGUACCUCCAACUGUUUAAUUUUGACUACAGUGUAGUUGUUGUUGUUCAUAGGUGAAUAAAUAAAAGAUGUGUAUCUGA